GCGUCUAGGAUGCAGCCUGUUGCAGCCGCGCUGGGGAGGGGGCUGUGGGACUGUGGGUGCUCAUUCAAGCUGUGAUGAUCGUUUUCCCCACCCGCUGAUUCCUGUUUUUCAGGAGUACCAGUAAGUAGCCGGGUGUCAGCAAAAAUCCAGCAGCUUGUCAAUACCCUCAAACGACCGAAACGACCACCUUUACGAGAAUUCUUUGUCGAUGACUUUGAAGAAUUAUUAGAAGUUCAACAACCGGAUCCGAACCAACCAAAGCCGGAGGGGGCCCAGAUGCUGGCCAUGCGCGGAGAGCAACUGGGCGUGGUCACGAACUGGCCGCCGUCGCUGGAGGCCGCACUGCAGAGGUGGGGCACCAUCUCGCCCAAGGCGCCCUGCCUGACCACCAUGGACACCAACGGGAAGCCCCUCUACAUCCUCACUUACGGCAAGCUGUGGACGAGAAGUAUGAAGGUCGCUUACAGCAUUCUACACAAAUUAGGCACAAAGCAGGAACCCAUGGUCCGGCCUGGA
rnacentral:lncRNA from 1 species